CUUUCCACAGUUCAGACUUCAUGUCUGUGAGGCUGUGACUGCUCAGACAGUUUUGCAUCCUCCUCUGCCUUCCUCUUUUGGUGAUCUUAUUUCUUCAGAUGGAUGUUUUGAGGCUAUUAUCUAUUUUGAGAAAAUUACACAAAUGCUGAUUUAUUAGCACAACAACUCAAAAGUGGUUCCUGUGAGGUCCUCGGCAUCGUCCAUGCUCCUGUGCAUCAUCUCUCACCAGGUGCAGUGCAUCCAGACUUGACUCAGAUACCCGAGGGGAAAAGGGAAAGGUGUGGCGAGGACAGGACUGGCCGUGAACUGCGGGAGACGCACCAAUUUAUCCGCUUGCAGCCUCAACCAGGGAAGAAGAUGCUAAUGAAGGUAAAGAGGCUGACCCGGAAAGCAGAUUGAAACUGGCACUGAACCCACAGACAAGGUGGAGCGAGUCAAGGAGCAGGAGGAGCAGACAGAGGGCACCGCCUCAACAGCAAAGGCUCAGCUACGGUGGCAAACAGAUGAACGACGAGAAGACGGCAGCUGAUUGCGAGGAGGAGGUGGUCUCAGGCCAUGAGAAGUCGUCCCUCCGCUUUGCCUCCUCACCCUUUGCUCAGAGUGAAGCAUACAUCUCACGCUGGCCGGGACACCCAAGCCAUUGCCCCUGCCUUGGAUGCCCAGUCUUGUGUGUCACUGGUGAGAGACUGCGAGGAUUCCAGGAUGCAGUGUUCUCGGCCCAAAAGGCCUUUGCUGGCUAUUGGGUUUUAAUAUUGGCGCUUCCCUGUCUUAUGGCUGUGUCCCGGUUGUCAAUAAAAUAUU